rnacentral:rRNA from 1 species
UACGUGGGGUGCAAGCGUUGUUCGGAAUUACUGGGCGUAAAGCGCGUGUAGGCGGUUCGCUAAGUUCGAUGUGAAAGCCCUGGGCUUAACCCAGGAACUGCAUUGAAAACUGGCGGACUUGAGUCCGGGAGAGGGUCGCGGAAUUCCUGGUGUAGAGGUGAAAUUCGUAGAUAUCAGGAGGAACACCGGUGGCGAAGGCGGCGACCUGGACCGGUACUGACGCCUGAGACGCGAAAGCGUGGGGAGCAAACAGG